rnacentral:rRNA from 1 species
UAAAUAGCCGCAGUACUCUGACUGUGCAAAGGUAGCAUAAUCAGUUGGCUCUUAAUUAGAGUCUGGUAUGAACGAAUGUAUGGAAAGUGGCUGUCUCUAUGGUAUACAUCAAAAUUGGUAGUAAGUGCAAAUCCUUACAUACAUUUAAUAGACGAGAAGACCCUAAAAACUUAAUGAAAUUUUUGUUGGGGCGACAGAACUACAAUAAAACUAGUUUUAAAAUACAAGACGUAAACUGAAAGACAAAGCUACUCUAGGGAUAACAGCAUAAUGUAAACGUUUGUGACCUCGAUGUUGGACUAGGUAAAACGUCCUCUAAAAGAGGACUUUUUGGGCUCUGU